rnacentral:lncRNA from 13 species
AGCAUCAAGGAAAGUCAGUUCUGUGAGAACCAAGGUGGGUGCUUUGCAAAGACCCAUUAGGGUAAGUUGCUUUUAGAACUGCUGUUAAAAUAGGUAUGAGCAAGUUAUCUGUAAAAGGUUGGGAAAACUCACAAAAUUCUAGAAGGAUUCUGCCAUCAGAUUGCCAGGAAAGUGUCUCCAAGUUCUUCCUCCACUGCAGAUAAUGCAGGACUGGAAAUUGCAAAUGAGGCAUCGUGAGUAUGCGCACGAAAAAGUGCUGACAUUUAUUAAGUGCUUCCUACACAUCAGGCUCUGAGCAUUUUGUCUGUACUAAUGUAUUUCAAAAUUUAAAAAAUUUUGACACAGAGUCUAAUCAUCAAAAUGUGGGAAAACUAGUGCAAACUAUACUUUAGAUUAAAAUACAACAUUUAAAGUAUGUGUCAUUUUGAACUUAUAGAAGUAUAACUUACAUAUGAAAAGUACAAAGGUCAUAAGCAUAGCGUGGUGGAUUUUUACAAUGUGAACUCAUCUUUUUAUCCAUGCCAAAAUCAAAAAUAUAAUACUCACAUUCCUCAAAUUCUGCAUAUUUUGUUUCUAGGAUUCCCCCAAUUUAAUCGCAUUUUAAGAUGGACCAAGCAGGAUACUCCUCUAUGGAAGGGAAGAGGAACCACCGGUCCUGACCCACGAAUUGGAAGAUGCUGCCACCUAGAGGAUGACUGGAAGUCGUUCUAAUUAGGAGAUUCAAUACCAUGAAUACAAAUUACCCGAUAUGUGCAAAAUGCUGAUUUCUGGGACCCACCUCAAGAGGCUGAUUUAGGGAUCACCCAUGAGCCUAGUGUUGAAGGUUAAUAAAAUCUGAACCUUCAUCCUUUGCUCCA